AGUGAAUGUUGUCCUCUGCUCUCAGUGCAUUCUACACAUUAUAUGGUAUAGUGAGGAACUGCAGUGCACAAGCAACUACAAAGAAUAAUGUUUUCACACAUACAGGCCAGCUGCACUACUACAUGAAGACAAGUUUUGUUUCCAAAACCCCCCCAUGUAAUUUACCAGAAUCACUCCAGCCAAUUUUUAGUCAGCUGAGACUUUCUUUUGUCUAUGGGGAAACAUGAGUCAAUGAGGAUGACGAUAUCUAUGUACCAGAGGCCAUCACCAGGUGCCAUUGAAGAAAUCAGCACAUUACUUAUCUCUACAAGCAGCAUCCGAAGUUGACCUAUGCACUGAAAAACCAUGUCAUCGUUGUUGCAUGAUUUUAUUGAUGAGGUAAGCUAUAAAAUGAGGUGAAAGGAGGGCAUUGCAAAAAUUCUUUUGUAUAAAAAAAUUCAAAUCUUAAAACAAUAAAAGCUGGAAUCACUUAAAUCACAACAGUAGUAUAUGUUCCCACUUAAUUUUGUUAACACAAACAACACAUCUUACAAAUUUUGUUGUCAAUAACACAGUAUAGUUCUUGAUAAGCCUGUCCUGAGGUUCUAAGGAGUCUUUGUAUUCAGGUCUUCUAACUUCCUUCAAAUAAAAUUUUCUGAAUGAAAGUGGUGUUUGGGCACUUAUAUAUUUUACAUGAAUGUACUAACAAUGAAAAUGAAUUCUGAAGUGACACACAUUCACAUAAUUUGAUAGGCCUAGCUGGGCAAUAAAUCCACCUUCUUCAGUUUGUAAUGGUUCUCUAUUUACGUGACCAUUACGGCACUCCAACCCCAGUUCUCAAUACCAGUAAUAUGGUACUACUUUUCUGUGAAGUAACAGAUAUUUUUGUGACAAUAUUCACAUUCGGUUUUAUUAAUG